AGCGUACACGGUGGAUGCCCUGGCAGUCAGAGGCGAUGAAGGACGUGCUAAUCUGCGAUAAGCGUCGGUAAGGUGAUAUGAACCGUUAUAACCGGCGAUUUCCGAAUGGGGAAACCCAGUGUGUUUCGACACACUAUCAUUAACUGAAUCCAUAGGUUAAUGAGGCGAACCGGGGGAACUGAAACAUCUAAGUACCCCGAGGAAAAGAAAUCAACCGAGAUUCCCCCAGUAGCGGCGAGCGAACGGGGAGCAGCCCAGAGCCUGAAUCAGUGUGUGUGUUAGUGGAAGCGUCUGGAAAGGCGCGCGAUACAGGGUGACAGCCCCGUACACAAAAAUGCACAUGCUGUGAGCUCGAUGAGUAGGGCGGGACACGUGGUAUCCUGUCUGAAUAUGGGGGGACCAUCCUCCAAGGCUAAAUACUCCUGACUGACCGAUAGUGAACCAGUACCGUGAGGGAAAGGCGAAAAGAACCCCGGCGAGGGGAGUGAAAAAGAACCUGAAACCGUGUACGUACAAGCAGUGGGAGCACGCUUAGGCGUGUGACUGCGUACCUUUUGUAUAAUGGGUCAGCGACUUAUAUUCUGUAGCAAGGUUAACCGAAUAGGGGAGCCGAAGGGAAACCGAGUCUUAACUGGGCGUUAAGUUGCAGGGUAUAGACCCGAAACCCGGUGAUCUAGCCAUGGGCAGGUUGAAGGUUGGGUAACACUAACUGGAGGACCGAACCGACUAAUGUUGAAAAAUUAGCGGAUGACUUGUGGCUGGGGGUGAAAGGCCAAUCAAACCGGGAGAUAGCUGGUUCUCCCCGAAAGCUAUUUAGGUAGCGCCUCGUGAACUCAUCUCCGGGGGUAGAGCACUGUUUCGGCAAGGGGGUCAUCCCGACUUACCAACCCGAUGCAAACUGCGAAUACCGGAGAAUGUUAUCACGGGAGACACACGGCGGGUGCUAACGUCCGUCGUGAAGAGGGAAACAACCCAGACCGCCAGCUAAGGUCCCAAAGUCAUGGUUAAGUGGGAAACGAUGUGGGAAGGCCCAGACAGCCAGGAUGUUGGCUUAGAAGCAGCCAUCAUUUAAAGAAAGCGUAAUAGCUCACUGGUCGAGUCGGCCUGCGCGGAAGAUGUAACGGGGCUAAACCAUGCACCGAAGCUGCGGCAGCGACGCUUAUGCGUUGUUGGGUAGGGGAGCGUUCUGUAAGCCUGUGAAGGUGUGCUGUGAGGCAUGCUGGAGGUAUCAGAAGUGCGAAUGCUGACAUAAGUAACGAUAAAGCGGGUGAAAAGCCCGCUCGCCGGAAGACCAAGGGUUCCUGUCCAACGUUAAUCGGGGCAGGGUGAGUCGACCCCUAAGGCGAGGCCGAAAGGCGUAGUCGAUGGGAAACAGGUUAAUAUUCCUGUACUUGGUGUUACUGCGAAGGGGGGACGGAGAAGGCUAUGUUGGCCGGGCGACGGUUGUCCCGGUUUAAGCGUGUAGGCUGGUUUUCCAGGCAAAUCCGGAAAAUCAAGGCUGAGGCGUGAUGACGAGGCACUACGGUGCUGAAGCAACAAAUGCCCUGCUUCCAGGAAAAGCCUCUAAGCAUCAGGUAACAUCAAAUCGUACCCCAAACCGACACAGGUGGUCAGGUAGAGAAUACCAAGGCGCUUGAGAGAACUCGGGUGAAGGAACUAGGCAAAAUGGUGCCGUAACUUCGGGAGAAGGCACGCUGAUAUGUAGGUGAAGUCCCUUGCGGAUGGAGCUGAAAUCAGUCGAAGAUACCAGCUGGCUGCAACUGUUUAUUAAAAACACAGCACUGUGCAAACACGAAAGUGGACGUAUACGGUGUGACGCCUGCCCGGUGCCGGAAGGUUAAUUGAUGGGGUCAGCGCAAGCGAAGCUCUUGAUCGAAGCCCCGGUAAACGGCGGCCGUAACUAUAACGGUCCUAAGGUAGCGAAAUUCCUUGUCGGGUAAGUUCCGACCUGCACGAAUGGCGUAAUGAUGGCCAGGCUGUCUCCACCCGAGACUCAGUGAAAUUGAACUCGCUGUGAAGAUGCAGUGUACCCGCGGCAAGACGGAAAGACCCCGUGAACCUUUACUAUAGCUUGACACUGAACAUUGAGCCUUGAUGUGUAGGAUAGGUGGGAGGCUUUGAAGUGUGGACGCCAGUCUGCAUGGAGCCGACCUUGAAAUACCACCCUUUAAUGUUUGAUGUUCUAACGUUGACCCGUAAUCCGGGUUGCGGACAGUGUCUGGUGGGUAGUUUGACUGGGGCGGUCUCCUCCUAAAGAGUAACGGAGGAGCACGAAGGUUGGCUAAUCCUGGUCGGACAUCAGGAGGUUAGUGCAAUGGCAUAAGCCAGCUUGACUGCGAGCGUGACGGCGCGAGCAGGUGCGAAAGCAGGUCAUAGUGAUCCGGUGGUUCUGAAUGGAAGGGCCAUCGCUCAACGGAUAAAAGGUACUCCGGGGAUAACAGGCUGAUACCGCCCAAGAGUUCAUAUCGACGGCGGUGUUUGGCACCUCGAUGUCGGCUCAUCACAUCCUGGGGCUGAAGUAGGUCCCAAGGGUAUGGCUGUUCGCCAUUUAAAGUGGUACGCGAGCUGGGUUUAGAACGUCGUGAGACAGUUCGGUCCCUAUCUGCCGUGGGCGCUGGAGAACUGAGGGGGGCUGCUCCUAGUACGAGAGGACCGGAGUGGACGCAUCACUGGUGUUCGGGUUGUCAUGCCAAUGGCACUGCCCGGUAGCUAAAUGCGGAAGAGAUAAGUGCUGAAAGCAUCUAAGCACGAAACUUGCCCCGAGAUGAGUUCUCCCUGACUCCUUGA
rnacentral:rRNA from 1 species